rnacentral:lncRNA from 1 species
CCCCACUUCGAUGACAUGGCAGCCGGAGCACAGACUGUCACUCAGAUACUGUGAGAAAUGUGAAAAGGGUAUUCUUGUCUUUCCAGGUGGCUUCAAAACUCCUUUCCCACCUCAAACAACGUCUGUAUCUACUCUGACUCAUAUGUUUGGGUGAACUUUGCUUGGUACUCAUCUGUAUGGUAAUACCAAAAAGUAUUUCCAGGCAGAAAAUCAGCAUUUUAGUGGGUACAUUGUUUUGUGUUUGGUGACCAUUUUGUUCUCUGGGUUCUAGAGUUAUAGGUACAUUUUGAAGGCUAGGACUUCCCUGGUGGCUUAGAUGGUAAAGCAUCUGUCUACAAUGUGGGAGACCCGGGUUCAAUCCCUGGGUUGGGAAGAUCCCCUGGAGAAGGAAAUGGCAAUCCACUCCAGUACUAUUGCCUGGAAAAUCCCAUGGACAGAGGAGCCUGGUAGGCUACAGUCCAUGGGGUCGCAAAGAGUCGGACACGACUGAGCGACUUCACUUUCACUUUCACCGUUGAAGGCUGUCUUGGCCAGAUUUCGGUUAGUCUUUGGCAGUAGGGGACAACACAGAAAACCAUCCCUAUCUACUCUUUUCUAGAAAGAACACUUCUAUCAGAAGCACCAUUUUAUUUCCACACCCACCAACAGGCUCAGUAAAGGAAAGGCAAGUAACAGUUACUAAGUACAGGACAUUUUUUCCCAUGAAUUAUCACUCUUCAGGCAUGGUCAGGAGGCUGCUAGUAAACCAGACUCUGAAAACUCAGACUGCUCUGGAGAAAUCAUUAACCUCCAUAGCUGUGGUCAGACUGAGGACACACGGAGAGCAUGGCUUUGUCCAAGACAUACAUCCGGGCCAUCUGACAUAUCCUGUUUUCCUGUGACUCUACUUCACUAAGUUUGGAGAGUAUUGAAUAUGACCUCUUUGGAUAGAUUAGAUAACUAUUAAGCUCCUUCCAUUAGACUAUUCAGGUAUGACCUAAAUCAAAUCAC